rnacentral:rRNA from 1 species
UACAGAGGUCUCAAGCGUUGUUCGGAUUCAUUGGGCGUAAAGGGUGCGUAGGCGGCGCGGUAAGUCGGGGUGUGAAAUCUUGGAGCUUAACUCCGAAACUGCAUUCGAUACUGCCGUGCUUGAGGACUGGAGAGGAGACUGGAAUUUACGGUGUAGCGGUGAAAUGCGUAGAUAUCGUAAGGAAGACCAGUGGCGAAGGGCGGGUCU